rnacentral:rRNA from 1 species
AAACUGCAGAUGGCUCAUUAUAUCAGUUAUAGUCUAUUUGAUGAUUGUGAGAAAUUGCUAUAUGGAUACCUGUAGUAAUUCUAGAGCUAAUACAUGCAUGAGGAUGUUGCAUUUUGCGACAUUGUAUUUGUUGGAUACCAAAACUAACUUUUCGUUAUGGAAUCACAAUAACUUUUCGAAUCGCAGUGGCAUUAACUUGCGGCGAUGUGUCAUUCGAAUUUCUGCCCUAUCAGCUUUCGACGGUAGUGUAGUGGACUACCGUGGCGUUAACGGGUGACGGAGAAUUGGGGUUCGGUUCCGGAGAGGGAGCCUGAGAAACGGCUACCACAUCUAAGGUAGGCAGCAGGCGCGCAACUUACCCAAUCCUAAUUCAGGGAGGUAGUGACAAGAAAUAACAACACCGGGCCUUUUUGGGUGUGGUGAUUGGAAUGAGAACAAUUUAAACUCGUUAUCGAGGAUCUAUUGGAGGGCAAGUCUGGUGCCAGCAGCCGCGGUAAUACCAGCUCCAAAAGCGUAUAUUAAUGUUGUUGCAGUUAAAAAGUUCGUAGUCGGAUUUAUGCGCUGUUUUGGAUGUGCGGCCGUUACUUUUUGUGUGAUGGUAUGCACAUUGGCAGUGCUUUUGAGCGAAUGGGCAGCUUGUUGCUUAGUUGUGAUGGUUGUUUCGUUUACUCGGUUUACUGUGAGAAAAGUAGAGUGUUCAAAGCAAACUGUAGUGUUUGAAUAUGUUAGCAUGGAAUAAUGAGAUAGGAUUUUGGUUGAAUUUGGUUUUGUUAGCCGAAGUAAUGAUUGAUGGGGACAGUUGGGGGUGCUAGUAUUCAGCGGCCAGAGGUGAAAUUCAUGGAUUCGCUGAAGACUAACUUAUGCGAAAGCAUUCACCAAGGAUGUCUUCUUUCGAUCAAGAUCGAAAGUUGGGGGAUCGAAGACGAUCAGAUACCGUCGUAGUCUCAACCAUAAACUAUGCCGUCUGUGGAUUGGAUUCUAUUGUUUUUGAGAUGAAUUCAGCACACUAUGAGAAAUCAAAGAUUUUGGGUUCCGGGGGGAGUAUGGUCGCAAGGCUGAAACUUAAAGGAAUUGACGGAAGGGCACCACCAGGAGUGGAGGCUGCGGCUUAAUUUGACUCAACACGGGAAAACUUACCAGG